rnacentral:rRNA from 1 species
UACAGAGGGUGCGAGCGUUGUUCGGAAUUACUGGGCGUAAAGCGCACGUAGGCGGCUUUGUAAGUUAGAGGUGAAAGCCUGGGGCUCAACCCCAGAAUUGCCUUUAAGACUGCAUCGCUUGAAUCCAGGAGAGGUGAGUGGAAUUCCGAGUGUAGAGGUGAAAUUCGUAGAUAUUCGGAAGAACACCAGUGGCGAAGGCGGCUCACUGGACUGGUAUUGACGCUGAGGUGCGAAAGCGUGGGGAGCAAACAGG